rnacentral:rRNA from 1 species
UACAGAGGGUGCGAGCGUUGUCCGGAAUCACUGGGCGUAAAGGGCGCGUAGGUGGUUGGGGAAGCGUGUGGUGAAAGCCCGGGGCUCAACCCCGGGUCGGCCAUGCGAACUGCCCGACUGGAGCAUGGUAGAGGCCAAUGGAAUUCCGGGUGUAGCGGUGGAAUGCGUAGAGAUCCGGAAGAACACCGGUGGCGAAGGCGGUUGGCUGGGCCAUAGCUGACACUGAGGCGCGACAGCGUGGGGAGCAAACGGG